rnacentral:rRNA from 1 species
GAACCAGUACCGUGAGGGAAAGGCGAAAAGAACCCCGGCGAGGGGAGUGAAAAAGAACCUGAAACCGUGUACGUACAAGCAGUAGGAGCCCCACCACCAAAGCGUUUCGCUUUGCGUGGUGCGCAAAAUGCGUAACGACAGCAUGAUGGACGGUUAACGGAGCGUCAGCGACGUUCAACCUCAAAAAUCAGGCAGUGGAGCGUUUUGGGGUGGGGUGACUGCGUACCUUUUGUAUAAUGGGUCAGCGACUUAUAUUCUGUAGCAAGGUUAACCG